GGAAGAGUUGUGGUAAGAAGUGAAAUACAAAUCGGACUAGGAUAUAGCUGGUUUUCUGCGAAAUUUGUUUUAGCAAAUAGUUUAUAUAUUAUUAUUUGUAGGUAUAGCACUGAAUAUCUAAUAGGGAUAUGAAGAGGGAAUGUUAAAGCGUUUAUCUCAGGUAUUUAAUCUCAGAAUGACAAAUAUAAUGUAAGUAAAUAAUCGGACUAUUCGCGAUAAGGUGAAUAGUCAAGAGGGAAACAGCCCUGAACAGUAAUUAAGGUUCUUAAAUCAAUAUUCAGUGAAAAAAAGGAAGUUAUAUUUCUUAGACAGUCAAGAAG
rnacentral:rRNA from 1 species